rnacentral:rRNA from 1 species
GACGAACGCUGGCGGCGUGCUUAACACAUGCAAGUCGAACGGAAAGGCCCUGCUUUUGUGGGGUGCUCGAGUGGCGAACGGGUGAGUAACACGUGAGUAACCUGCCCUUGACUUUGGGAUAACUUCAGGAAACUGGGGCUAAUACCGGAUAGGAGCUCCUGCUGCAUGGUGGGGGUUGGAAAGUUUCGGCGGUUGGGGAUGGACUCGCGGCUUAUCAGCUUGUUGGUGGGGUAGUGGCUUACCAAGGCUUUGACGGGUAGCCGGCCUGAGAAGGUGACCGGCCACAUUGGGACUGAGAUACGGCCCAGACUCCUACGGGAGGCAGCAGUGGGGAAUAUUGCACAAUGGGCGGAAGCCUGAUGCAGCAACGCCGCGUGCGGGAUGACGGCCUUCGGGUUGUAAACCGCUUUCGCCUGUGACGAAGCGUGAGUGACGGUAAUGGGCAAAGAAGCACCGGCUAACUACGUG